rnacentral:rRNA from 1 species
CUUGUCUGCACCUGCCGGCGACCGGCGCACGGGUGAGUAACACGUAUGGAACCUGCCCGCCACAGGGGGAUAACCCGGGGAAACCCGGCCUAAUACCCCAUGCCGCCCGGACCGGGCAUCCGGUCCGGGCGAAAGGAGGAAUCCGGUGGCGGCUGGGCAUGCGGCGCAUUAGGCAGUAGGCGGGGUAACGGCCCACCUAACCGACGAUGCGUAGGGGUUCUGAGAGGAAGGUCCCCCACACUGGUACUGAGACACGGACCAGACUCCUACGGAAGGCAGCAG